rnacentral:rRNA from 1 species
CGUAGAGUACGUUGACCUGACUCAGGAUAAAACGACUGCGGCGCACAUAAGACAUGCAAGUCGUAACGGACUUAAUCUUAAUAUUUUAUAUUGAGAAGCGGUUAGUGGCGGACUGGUGAGUAACGCGUAAGCAAUCUGCCUAUUAGAGGGGAAUAACAGUGAGAAAUCAUUGCUAAUACCGCAUAUGCCAUAAGAACCACAUGGUUCUAGUGGAAAGGAGUAAUCCGCUAAUAGAUGAGCUUGCGUCUGAUUAGCUAGUUGGUGUGGUAAUGGCACACCAAGGCAACGAUCAGUAGCCGGACUGAGAGGUUGAACGGCCACAUUGGGACUGAGAUACGGCCCAGACUCCUACGGGAGGCAGCAGUCGGGGAUAUUGCGCAAUGGAGGAAACUCUGACGCAGUGACGCCGCGUAUAGGAAGAAGGUUUUCGGAUUGUAAACUAUUGUCGUUAGGGAAGAUAAAAGACAGUACCUAAGGAGGAAGCUCCGGCUAACUACGCG